UCGUGCCAGCUUUUUUCCCCCACGUGAAAUGUCCACCGCUCAAUGGCCGGAGAGUUGAUGAAUGAACGGCCGUUUUACUCGACAGGAAGUUAUUGGGAGCACGGGAUAGAUCCAGCAGACGACGACUUAACCAGUUAUGUCAUACGCGACCAGCCGUCUUCAACCGGGGCCAAUUUUGGAUUAUUAAACAUAGCUUAGGAGCGUGUGCGCAUGACAGGAAGAACAGACAGAACCAAUCAAAAUGGAGCAUCUCUGGCAACUUUUGCUGACGCUUUGUAUUGCCAGUUUGGUACAGAUCACUGAUACAGACUCGCGGUGGGCGGAGUGGUGGACUUAUGACGAGGGUAUUUCAGGUCCCAACUACUGGGGUCGUAUCAACCCCAGCUGGUCCCUGUGUACCAAGGGACACAACCAAAGCCCUGUCAACAUCGACCCCAAAAGUUUACUCUACGACCCGUCUUUAUCUCCCCUGGAAAUCACAGGAAAUGCGGUGUCUGGGACAUUAAUUAACGUUGGGCACACGCUGACGUUUGAUGUGGACAUGAAUAGCCACUGGUCACAAGGGGUCAACAUCACAGGAGGUCCUUUGUCUUAUUCCUACAGGGCCGCUAAGCUGAGCAUCCACUUCAGCCAUUCCGACCAAGACGGCUCCGAACACACGAUUGAUGGGCGGGGCUUCAGUGCCGAGAUCCAGAUAUUCGCCUACAACUCUGACCUCUACACCAACCUGACCUACGCUAUGACGUCACCACGAGGAGUUGUCUGUCUGGCCGUUCUAGUCAAGAUCGGGAACGAAACCCAUCCGUACUACGAGAGAAUACAUAGGGCCUUGAACCAAACACUGUUUAAAGGUAACCGUCAGCAGAUCGCCUACCUGAACCUGCGGUCUCUGCUGCCGGACACGCAUCACUUCCUGACGUACGACGGUUCCUUGACGCAUCCGGCGUGUCAUGAGACGGUCACGUGGAUCAUCUACAACAAACCUAUCUACAUCAGCAAACGUCAGAUUACCGGUUUACGCCGCCUGAAGCAGGACACGAUCUACAACCCCGUGACGCUGAUGGCGGGAAACAUCCGGCCCUUGCAGCCCCUCAACCAAAGGACCGUCAGGACCAACAUUAACUACGGUGAGCGGGCAUGUAGCAUGAAGAGAGACAUGAACUAUAUAGUCAACUACAGCCACUUCUACCACACCAACAAGCACAGCCUCCCUUGAAGAAUGAGAGGCAUCCCCUGCUUGUUGUAGCAGUAUGGCUUUCGUUUCGUCCUGAAAGCUAAGCCACGCCUUUAAGUGCAGUCAUGAUAUCUACAUCAGCACUUCAGUCAUUGAAGGAAAAAAAAAUGCAACCCCUUCCAGCAAGAAGCUGCCAUGUUAUGCAACACUCUGCCCCUCGUCUUCCACGCACACUCCAGAUCUGCAUGCAGGCCAAAACAAAACGACAAUCCAGAGUCUUCGGGAAUUGCCAGCUAAAUAUGCGAGGUUAUUUUUAAACUUCGCACGUGCAUUUUUAAUAUUUCGGAAUUACGGUGUUUGUAUCAUUCAACAGGUUUAUUAUUGUAGUUUACAGUGUAUAUUUUUUGUAUCGAGUAAAGACAGAUAGGGGUCAUCCAUAAACGAGGUCACGCUCAACAUUAUAAGACUAUCUCCCCUCAUCAUCACAAAAAGCCAAAAUCCACCCCUAAAAUGACG